GAAAUCAUUCGCAGAGUGUAAAGGCACAAGGGAGCUUGACUGCGAGACAGACAGGUCGAGCAGGGACGAAAGUCGGGCUUAGUGAUCCGGUGGUACCGUAUGGAAGGGCCAUCGCUCAACGGAUAAAAGCUACCCUGGGGAUAACAGGCUUAUCUCCCCCAAGAGUCCACAUCGACGGGGAGGUUUGGCACCUCGAUGUCGGCUCAUCGCAUCCUGGGGCUGUAGUCGGUCCCAAGGGUUGGGCUGUUCGCCCAUUAAAGCGGUACGCGAGCUGGGUUCAGAACGUCGUGAGACAGUUCGGUCCCUAUCCGUCGCGGGCGUAGGAAAUUUGAGAGGACCUGUCCUUAGUACGAGAGGACCGGGAUGGACAUACCUCUGGUGUACCAGUUGUGCCGCCAGGCGCAUCGCUGGGUAGCUACGUAUGGAUGUGAUAAACGCUGAAAGCAUCUAAGUGUGAAACACACCUCGAGAUGA
rnacentral:rRNA from 1 species